GCAUGGCUUGUAUCGAUCACAUACUGAUGUGUCUGAUGUUUUAUGAGUGGGUUUCCCCUCGUUAGCCGAUGGCUUGUUGGUGGUGGUUGAUCUUUCGAUGGGAUGAUGCAUGAGUGGUUAUUAGGAUGUGCUUUCAUGCAGGCUCUGCGUAGCAUACGUCGAACUGUGUGGAGUCAACCGUUUCAGUAAUCCGUUGUGCUUGUGUUUUGCUCGUUGCAAAAUGAUCGGGUGGUUUCUGUGUUGGGUACUGAUUAUGGUAUGCGGGAUUUGAUGGAAUCCAUUGUUCUUUGUUCUCCCGCCAUUGGCUUGUCCAGUGAAGGGGGAUGUUAUAUCGGUCUCUCAUGUUCCUCACAAGUUAGCCCCUUAUGGGAGUGGAUUUGUGAUGGCUCAUGGGCGGCUGUCUAUGCUCUUGGAUAUGUGAAAUAUUUGGUUGUUGUUCGGGUCUUUGACCCAUACGGUAUCAUUUCUUGAGCAUGUAGCUUUAUUUUGUAUGACCCUCGAGCUUGUUCUUGAGCUCACCGAGCCGUAGUGCUUGUUGUUCAUCAGGGAGAUGUCGAGGUCCAUGAGUAAUGC
rnacentral:misc_RNA from 1 species